AUGUGCAAGUGCACCCAGAUCUCUCGCCAGGUCUGGCGGCGUCGUGCAACACUCAUGGGCUACGACUCUAGUACGCUAGCAGUGGUGGCAGGCAAUGGCGAGUGUACUGAUGGUCGAGCGGCAGCGCGGGCUAAUGGGUUCGGCUCUGUUCUCGUUCGCCAUUUACUAUACUGUACUACUCAACAAGUUAAGGGUGGAUUCAGACUGAUGAGGCUGUCCAAGAUUGCUCGGAACAAGGCGAAAUUGGUGAAGCACGAAGCCCUUGUCGAUGGCUUCAGUAAAUCCAGUUUCAAAAACAAUAAAAUGAGAAACAUUCAGAUAAGGCUUCGUUGA
rnacentral:rRNA from 1 species